rnacentral:rRNA from 1 species
UGCGUAGGCGGCUUAUUAAGUCGGAUGUGAAAUCCCCGAGCUUAACUUGGGAAUUGCAUUCGAUACUGGUGAGCUAGAGUAUGGGAGAGGAUGGUAGAAUUCCAGGUGUAGCGGUGAAAUGCGUAGAGAUCUGGAGGAAUACCGAUGGCGAAGGCAGCCAUCUGGCCUAAUACUGACGCUCAAAUGCGAAAGCGUGGGGAUCAAACAGGAUUAGAUACCCCGGUA